rnacentral:rRNA from 1 species
GAUGAACGCUGGCGGCGUGCCUAAUACAUGCAAGUCGAGCGAACAGACGAGGAGCUUGCUCCUCUGACGUUAGCGGCGGACGGGUGAGUAACACGUGGAUAACCUACCUAUAAGACUGGGAUAACUUCGGGAAACCGGAGCUAAUACCGGAUAAUAUAUUGAACCGCAUGGUUCAAUAGUGAAAGACGGUUUUGCUGUCACUUAUAGAUGGAUCCGCGCCGCAUUAGCUAGUUGGUAAGGUAACGGCUUACCAAGGCAACGAUGCGUAGCCGACCUGAGAGGGUGAUCGGCCACACUGGCACUGAGACACGGCCAAGACUCCUACGGGAGGCCGCCGAAGGGAAUCUUUCGCCAUCGGCGAAAGCCUGACGGAGCAACGCCCCGUGAGUGAUAAUGGUCUUCGGCUCGUAAAACUCUGUUAUUAGGGAAGAACAAAUGUGUAAGUAACUAUGCACGUCUUGACGGUACCUACUCAGAAAGCCACGGCUAACUACGUG